rnacentral:ncRNA from 1 species
CCUGUAAUAAUAGUGAACAUUCAAGGAAACUACGUCUUAUGAGGUUGGCUCAAUUAGUAAAAUAAAAAUAUCAGUUCGGAUUGCAGGCUGCAACUCGCCUGCAUGAAGCCGGAAUCACUAGUAAUCGCCGGUCAGCCAUACGGCGGUGAAUUUGUUCCCGGG